UCUCCCUUGAAACAGAAGGCCACAAUGAGCAGCCACAGCGAGUGUUGGUGAUGGGGCAGGCACAGAGCAAUGCCUGUGACAGCGUCACAGAGAGUCCUUGUGAGCUCAGGGCAGAGGGGCUGACCCCAGCGCUCACGGAACCCCCCAGCGCCACUCUCGAGCUGCCAUGGCAGGUAAGGCAGCAGGCUCCUCCUGCUCCUGGCACUGCGGCUCUCCAGGUGGUCCCAGUGCCCCACAUCUCACCCAGCGCCCAUUUGGGCAUUUCCCCACAGAGAGAAUCUCUUCAUUGAUGCCGACGGUGCUUCCGACACCCGACGCAACUUUAUUUGGACCUUUUGUGCCCCCACCGGCCGCUGCUGCAAUGCAGCCGCAGGUGCUCCCCGUGCCCUGCACCCUGCCCGCCAGCUGGGAGCGGGCGGUGGGGCCCCUUGGAGAUGCCGUGGUGCUCACGGAGGACCAGGGGCACCCAGCGCCCACCGACGGGUGCCCCCAUCCCGCCACGGCUCCGCUCGGCUGCAGCACCGCAGCGCUGGACU
ensembl:lncRNA